UUUAUGCACGUGGUAGGAGAGCGUUCUAGCGGCGGUGAAGCAUGACCGAGAGGACAUGUGGAGCUUCUAGAAGUGAGAAUGCCGGUAUGAGUAACGAAAGACAGGUGAGAAUCCUGUCCGCCGCAAGACUAAGGUUUCCUGGGGCAGGCUCGUCCGCCCAGGGUAAGUCGGGACCUAAGGCGAGGCCGAGAGGCGUAGUCGAUGGACAACAGGUUGAAAUUCCUGUACUGCACCGAAUCGUUAUGAGCGAUGGAGGGACGCAGGAGGCUAGCAGCGCGUGGUGCUGGAUACCACGUUCAAGCGUCAAGUCUGAGAGCGAGUCAAAUGCUUGCUCUCAUAAGGACAAGGCGUGAUGAGGAGCGAAAUUAAAGUAGCGAAGGCUGCGACGUCACACUGCCGAGAAAAGCUUCUAGCCAGAGACGGUGCACCCGUACCGCAAACCGACACAGGUAGUCGAGGAGAGUAUCCUCAGGUGAGCGAGAGAACUCUCGUUAAGGAACUCGGCAAAAUGGCCCCGUAACUUCGGGAGAAGGGGCGCUGGUCGCAAGAUCAGCCGCAGUGAAAAGGCCCAAGCAACUGUUUAUCAAAAACACAGGCAUCUGCAAAAUCGUAAGAUGAAGUAUAGGUGCUGACACCUGCCCGGUGCUGGAAGGUUAAGAGGAGAGCUUAGCGCAAGCGAAGGUUUGAAUUGAAGCCCCAGUAAACGGCGGCCGUAACUAUAACGGUCCUAAGGUAGCGAAAUUCCUUGUCGGGUAAGUUCCGACCUGCACGAAAGGUGUAAUGAUUUGGGCACUGUCUCAACGAGAGACUCGGUGAAAUUAUAAUACCCGUGAAGAUGCGGGUUACCCGCGACAGGACGGAAAGACCCCAUGGAGCUUUACUGCAGUUUAAUAUUGGGUAUCUGUCAAGCAUGUACAGGAUAGGUAGGAGCCGGAGAAGAUAGGACGCCAGUCUUAUCUGAGGCGCUGUUGGGAUACUACCCUUGCUUGACGGAUGCUCUAACUCAGGCCUGUGAUCCAGGCCGAGGACAGUGUUUGACGGGCAGUUUGACUGGGGCGGUCGCCUCCUAAAGUGUAACGGAGGCGCCCAAAGGUUCCCUCAGAAUGGUUGGAAAUCAUUCGCAGAGUGUAAAGGUAAAAGGGAGCUUGACUGCGAGAGAGACAACUCGAGCAGGUACGAAAGUAGGGCUUAGUGAUCUGGUGGUACCGUAUGGAAGGGCCAUCACUCAACGGAUAAAAGCUACCCUGGGGAUAACAGGCUUAUCUCCCCCAAGAGUUCACAUCGACGGGGAGGUUUGGCACCUCGAUGUCGGCUCGUCGCAUCCUGGGGCUGAAGUCGGUCCCAAGGGUUGGGCUGUUCGCCCAUUAAAGCGGCACGCGAGCUGGGUUCAGAACGUCGUGAGACAGUUCGGUCCCUAUCCGUCGUGGGCGUAGGAAAUUUGAGAGGAGCUGUCCUUAGUACGAGAGGACCGGGAUGGACGCACCGCUGGUGUACCAGUUGUCUUGCCAAAGGCAUCGCUGGGUAGCUAUGUGCGGACGGGAUAAGCGCUGAAAGCAUCUAAGUGCGAAGCCCCCCUCAAGAUGAGAUUUCCCAUUUCUUCAAGAAAGUAAGACACCUCAGAGACGAUGAGGUAGAUAGGCCGGGAGUGGAAGAGCCGUGAGGCUUGGAGCGGACCGGUACUAAUCAGUCGAGGACUUGACCAAAA
rnacentral:rRNA from 1 species